AUUGAACGCUGGCGGCAGGCCUAACACAUGCAAGUCGAGCGGUAGAGAGGAGCUUGCUUCUCUUGAGAGCGGCGGACGGGUGAGUAAUGCCUAGGAAUCUGCCUGGUAGUGGGGGAUAACGUUCGGAAACGGACGCUAAUACCGCAUACGUCCUACGGGAGAAAGUGGGGGAUCUUCGGACCUCACGCUAUCAGAUGAGCCUAGGUCGGAUUAGCUAGUUGGUGAGGUAAAGGCUCACCAAGGCGACGAUCCGUAACUGGUCUGAGAGGAUGAGCAGGCGCACUUGAACUGAGACACGGUCCAGACGACUACGGGAGGCAGCAUUGGGGAAUAUUGGACAAUGGGCGCAAGCCUGAUCCAGCCAUGCCGCGUGUGUGAAGAAGGUCUUCGGAUUGUAAAGCACUUUAAGUUGGGAGGAGGCUACUUGGAUUAAUACUCUAGGAUAGUGGACGUUACUCGCAGAAUAAGCACCGGCUAACUCUGUGCCAGCAGCCGCCGUAAAAC
rnacentral:rRNA from 1 species